AUUGAACGCUGGCGGCAUGCCUUACACAUGCAAGUCGAACGGCAGCGGGGGAGAAGCUUGCUUUUCCUGCCGGCGAGUGGCGAACGGGUGAGUAAUACAUCGGAACGUGCCCUGUAGAGGGGGAUAACUAGUCGAAAGAUUAGCUAAUACCGCAUACGCCCUGAGGGUGAAAGUGGGGGACCGCAAGGCCUCAUGCUAUAGGAGCGGCCGAUGUCUGAUUAGCUAGUUGGUGGGGUAAAGGCCUACCAAGGCGACGAUCAGUAGCUGGUCUGAGAGGACGAUGAGCCACACUGAGACUGAGAACCGGCCCAGACUCCUACGGGAGGCAGCAGUGGGGAAUUUUGGACAAUGGGCGAAAGCCUGAUCCAGCAAUGCCGCGUGUGUGAAGAAGGCCUUCGGGUUGUAAAGCACUUUUGUCCGGAAAGAAAUGGCUCUGGUUAAUACCUGGGGUCGAUGACGGUACCGGAAGAAUAAGGACCGGCUAACUGCGUGCCAGCAGCCGCAGUAA
rnacentral:rRNA from 1 species